ACUGAUAUUUGAAUAGUCAAACUAGUGGACUAGCACUGAUCAAAGGCAGCCUUGCAAUGUGCCAGUGCAGCCCACUCCUGCCUCUGAAGAACACCCCCAAGGCCUAGAGAGUGUCUGAUUGGUGGUGGUGAGUGGUUAUAGUUCAAGGAAGCAAAUUCAGGGUGCCUGCUGGACUCCUGCCAUAUUUGCAUGACAUCAGACUAUGUCCACCAUCCACCAGGAUGUUGGCAAAUGGUAAUAACUACACCAUUGUGUUUUUGUGCAUUGCAACACCCUUAGUCACUGCAACACCUCAGUCACCGCAACACCUCACUGCCAGCACCACAGUCAUUGCAACACCUCAGUCAUGUAACACCUCAGUCACUGCAACAUCUGUUACUGCAACAACUCAGUCACUGCAACACCUCAACCAUCACAACACCUCUGUCAGUGCAACACCUCAGUCAUCUGCAACACCUCAACCAUCACAACACCUCUGUCAGUGCAACACCUCAGUCACUGCAACACCUAUUACUGCAACUUCUCAGUCAUUGCAACAUGU
rnacentral:lncRNA from 1 species